rnacentral:misc_RNA from 1 species
GAUGAAGAACGUAGCGAAAUGCGAUACGUAAUGUGAAUUGCAGAAUUCAGUGAAUCAUCGAAUCUUUGAACGCACAUUGCGCCCGCCAGUAUUCUGGCGAGCAUGCCUGUUCGAGCGUCAUUUCAACCAUCAAGCCCCAGGCUUGUGUUGGAGCCCUGCGGCUGCCGCAGCCUCCCAAAACCAGUGGCGGGCUCGCUAUCACACCGAGUGCAGUAGUUUACUCUUCGCUCAGGGCGUGUGGCGGGUGCUAGCCGUGAAACCCCCAACUUCUCAAGGUUGACCUCGGAUCAGGUAGGAAUACCCGCUGAACUUAAGCAUAUCAAUAAGCGGAGGA